UUGCACAUUAUAUAUCGUAGGUCUCUCUGAUUAUGUAUAGAGCGACCUUGAGCUAUGGGUGCAUAAAUUAAGAGCUGAUUAGUCAGCAGGCAGCCAGACAACUGCUGAGAUGAAUCCACAGAUGAACAGCUCUUUCAUGCUGUUUGUCUACUAAUUCCACCUUACAUCU